UACGAAGGGGGCUAGCGUUGCUCGGAAUUACUGGGCGUAAAGGGCGCGCAGGCGGCCUUAUAAGUCAGAUGUGAAAGCCCCGGGCUCAACCUGGGAAUGGCAUUUGAUACUCUGAGGCUGGAGUACGGGAGAGGAGAGUGGAAUUCCCAGUGUAGAGGUGAAAUUCGUAGAUAUUGGGAAGAACACCAGUGGCGAAGGCGGCGCCCUGGCCUGCGACUGACGCUGUGGCGCGAAAGCGAGGGGAGCGAACGGG
rnacentral:rRNA from 1 species